AUUGAACGCUGGCGGCAGGCCUAACACAUGCAAGUCGAGCGAGCGGCGGACGGGUGAGUAAUGUAUGGGGACUGCCCGAUAGAGGGGGGUAACUACUGGAAACGGUAGCUAAUACCGCAUAUUAUCGGAUAACCCAUAUGGGAUUAGCUAGUAGGUGAGGUAAUGGUUAACCAGGGCGACGAUCCCUAGCUGGUCUGAGAGGAUGAUCAGCAACACUGGGACGGGGAAACGCCCCAGACUCCUACGGAGGCGGCAGUGGGGAAUAUUGGACAAUGGGCGAAGGCCGGAUGAAGCCAUGCGGCGUGUAUGAAGAGGGCUCUGGGGUUGAAAGGUACGUUCUGACGGGAGGCGUUACCGAAAGAAGAAGCAACGGCUAACUACGUGCCAGCAGCCGCGGUAAUAC
rnacentral:rRNA from 1 species